CGCGUAGGCGGAUAAUUAAGUCCGGUGUGAAAGAUCAGGGCUCAACCCUGAGAGUGCAUCGGAAACUAAUUAUCUUGAGGACAGGAGAGGAAAGUGGAAUUCCACGUGUAGCGGUGAAAUGCGUAGAUAUGUGGAGGAACACCAGUGGCGAAGGCGACUUUCUGGACUGUAACUGACGCUGAGGCGCGAAAGCGUGGGUAGCAAACA
rnacentral:rRNA from 1 species